rnacentral:SRP_RNA from 1 species
UUGAAAUCAUUUGUUAUGUAUAGUAUAAUAUGAAAACGGAACACAACGAGCCAUUUUCAAGGUCGGACCGUAACAGGUUGGGUCUUGCGCAAUAGGAACUCAUGAACCCCGUCAGGUCCGGAAGGAAGCAGCGGUAAGUGACAAUUCUUAUGUGCCGCAAGGGUGCCUGAUUUGUUGCGGUCCGACGUUGAAAAUGGUUUUUUAA